rnacentral:rRNA from 1 species
CAGCCCUUGACAUGUCCUCUAUGGAUUCCAGAGACGGAGUCCUUCACUUCGGGUGGGAGGAACACAGGUGCUGCAUGGCUGUCGUCAGCUCGUGUCGUGAGAUGUUGGGUUAAGUCCCGCAACGAGCGCAACCCUCGCCCUUAGUUGCCAUCAUUCAGUUGGGCACUCUAAGGGGACUGCCGGUGAUAAGCCGGAGGAAGGUGGGGAUGACGUCAAGUCCUCAUGGCCUUACGGGCUGGGCUACACACGUGCUACAAUGGCGGUGACAGAGGGAUGCAAAGGGGCAACCCUUUGCAAAUCUCAAAAAGCCGUCUCAGUUCGGAUUGGGGUCUGCAACUCGACCCCAUGAAGUUGGAAUCGCUAGUAAUCGCAGAUCAGCACGCUGCGGUGAAUACGUUCCCGGGCCUUGUACACACCGCCCGUCACACCAUGGGAGUUGGCUUUACCUGAAGACGGUGCGCUAACCGCAAGGAAGCAGCCGGCCACGGUAGGGUCAGCGACUGGGGUG